rnacentral:lncRNA from 1 species
AGCACACAGAGCCCUCGCAGGAUGGUGGGACCUGGCAGCUGCAGCAACCCGUUAUCUCCUGUGCGCGUUGGCCAGCGGUGUGUAGAAGGGCAGACACUCUUCCAGGAGAUCUGCAUUGUGUAUCCCUACUGCUCCAUCCCUUACUAAGGCAACAAGAAUGCACCAAGAUGCUGAAGAGCAAGACAUUGCUGAAGAAGCCUGUGGCCAGCAGAGAUCCCUGGCUGAACCCAGAGCAAAACUCCGGGAGAGAUGUGGCCAGCCCAGCCCUGAG